AUACCUUAUAAUCUCCAUCUUCCAUAUGGUUGAUGGAGCAAAGGCUUGCUGCCUGAAGAUCGGGGUACUUCCUAUCAGCUUGUUGGUAAGGUAAUGGCUUACCAAGGCUAAGACGGGUAGCGGGUGUGAGAGCAUGACCCGCCGCAUCGGGACUGAGACACUGCCCGGACUCCUACGGGAGGCUGCAGUAACGAAUAUUCCGCAAUGCGCGAAAGCGUGACGGAGCAAUGCCGCGUGUGGGAUGAAGCAUCUAGGUGUGUAAACCACUGUCAGGGUUUAGGAAACAAAUGACCAGACCCAAAGGAAGAGCCGGCUAACUCUGUGCCAGCAGCCGCGGUAAUA
rnacentral:rRNA from 1 species